rnacentral:rRNA from 1 species
GAAAUUGAAAUCGCUGUGAAGAUGCAGUGUACCCGCGGCUAGACGGAAAGACCCCGUGAACCUUUACUACAGCUUGGCACUGAACAUUGACCCUACAUGUGUAGGAUAGGUGGGAGGCUUUGAAGCACGUACGCCAGUAUGUGUGGAGCCGUCCUUGAAAUACCACCCUUGUAGUGUUGAUGUUCUAACGUCGACCCCUUAUCGGGGUUGCGGACAGUGCCUGGUGGGUAGUUUGACUGGGGCGGUCUCCUCCU